CCUUUGUACACACCGCCCGUCGCUACUACCGAUUGAAUGGCUUAGUGAGGCUUCCGGAUUGGUUUAGGAAAGGGGGCAACUCCAUUCUGGAACCGAGAAGCUAGUCAAACUUGGUCAUUUAGAGG
rnacentral:rRNA from 1 species